GACGAACGCUGGCGGCGUGCCUAACACAUGCAAGUCGAACGGACGAGACUUCUUCGGAAGUCAAGUUAGUGGCGGACGGGUGAGUAACGCGUGAGUAACCUGCCUUGCAGAGGGGGAUAACGUUUGGAAACGAACGCUAAUACCGCAUAAAGUAUCUGAUAUCGCAUGGUAUUGAUACCAAAGAUUUUAUCGCUGUAAGAUGGACUCGCGUCUGAUUAGAUAGUUGGCGGGGUAACGGCCCACCAAGUCGACGAUCAGUAGCCGGACUGAGAGGUUGAACGGCCACAUUGGGACUGAGACACGGCCUAGACUCCUACGGGAGGCAGCAGUGAGGGAUAUUGCACAAUGGGCGCAAGCCUGAUGCAGCAACGCCGCGUGAGGGAUGACGGUUUUCGGAUUGUAAACCUCUGUCUUCAGUGAUGAUAAUGACAUUAGCUGAGGAGGAAGCCACGGCUAACUACGUGCCAGCAGCCGC
rnacentral:rRNA from 1 species